AUAUAAAAGCUAGUGGUUAUUAAUUUAGUGCCACAGCAGGAUUUGUUGAGGAAGAAGUCACUGAAGGCCUAAAACUGUGUUACUUUGUGUGUGUGUGUGUGUGUGUGUGUUUUCUGUUUUAAACAUGCAUUAGAUUUGGCCACUGUAGGUGGUACUCCUUUAACAACUAAAUAAGUCAUUGUCAUUAUAAACCUAUUCCUAAUUGAAAAGAAUUUAUUUUUAAACAAUUAUGUACAGGUAUACAAUGUACGUUAAAUCAUGUCCAACCCCAAUACCCCCACAUUCCUGUAUCCACCUCUUUUCUUCCUUUGCCUCCUCUCCCCAGAGUCCACUUGAGUUCAGUUACUAAUGCCUGUCUGUAUACCCAUGGACUGAGAACCAAAAUUUCUAGAAAAAUUUGUUUUUUACAUUUAGUUUGGAAUUUUUGUUUCAAAGUUGUGUAAUCCUUCUUUUUUAAAAAUAAAAUACCCGGAGUAUACAUCUCAAUGAGAAUAAUUUUUCUUUUCAAAUGUGAUACAUGUCUUGCAAUGUUCUAGUAAUAUAGCAACUGUUCAUUGAACUUCUGGCCUCCCAUGUACUGGUGUUUAAUUAUGAUUAAUGUUUAAAUAUUUAUUGCAGUAACAUAUCUUCAAGAAGAACACUUUGCCCUUUAUAAGUAGAAUAAGGCCAUCAGUUCUUUAGGAGACAGCCCCUUAGUGUGCUUACCUUAUUCAAAAUACCUUAUACAAUUUUCUUUUGUUAAAAGCUUAAGCUAUAAACCAUUAUAAGAAGAGCGAACAAUUUCAGCUUCCUCUGAUGCAAUACUCAGGGGUGUUUGCCUGGUUUUCUUAAAUAAAAUUCUGAUCACAUCCCACACAUGUCCAGAGAGAGGUGAUAUCCUUGUCUUGUGCCUGUCUGGGUGGAAGAUGGCAGACAGACCGCAUUGUUGUAGCUGAUGGGGGUAACAGCCCAGCUCACAUAUUUCAAAUUCACUGCAUAUUACACUACAUAGACAUUCUAUACCAUCCAAGUUAACUUAAAAGAUAUACUGUUAAACAUGUACCUUAAGAAUUUAUAAAAAUACUUUGUAAAUUACUAUGUGUAAUGUAUUUCUGUACAGGCAGAUGUUCCAAGAAACAUUUAAAGUUUUUAUUAGUGAAAUAACUGGAGACAUCAUUUCCGUUUACUGGACAAUGGAUACAGUGUAGGCUUUUUACAGUGGAACUGUAUAUAAUAGAAAUUAAUGAAUAAUUAAUAAUUAAUACUGGCUAGCCAUGCCCAGGAGACCCCUUUCUUUGUGGUAAGCACCUAAAUCUUACGUUCUAGCAUCCUUACUUAAUGAGCGUUUUUAAGAGCAGAAAGCAGUGGUAGAGGAUACUAAAACAGUGACUGGAAACAUAGUGUAGAUGCAUUUGCAUCUUGGCAGAGACUUCGCUCUUUUAAACUAUAAGAAAAGUUAUACAAAUGACAGAGGACGUAGCUUUUUUUUUGUUGUUCCAGACAUAAUUUUGAAAACUUUAUAUUUUACUUUAUUUUUAAAAAUACAUAUUUUUCAUUAUGUGUUGUGAAUGCAGGGAGAAGGGAAACAAGCAUGUGGCGGUCAGAGGAUGGUUUUGUCAAGUUGGUUCUUUCUGUCCACUCCUGGAUUCUUGGGUGGAAUUCAGGUCACUGUGCAUGUGUGGCAAACACUUUGCCUGUUAAGUCAUCUUGUCAGCCUCACUUUCACUUUUAGGAAGCCAAAUCACACUGUCGCUGUUAUGAAGAUAGGUAGUUUGCCACAAGGAGAACCAAGGAAGAUAGGAGCGCCUAAUUGAAAUAUGUCCUUACCACCAAUGAAACAGCUCAGAGAGUAUGCCCAGAAAAUAGUCUGAGGAGGCACUGUUGGUUGUGAGAAGUACGUGUGAGGUGAUACCUCUUGUCGUUCUGUGACACGGUAAUAAGUGUGUAAGUCUAAAAGUUAAGGAGAGAAAACUUGAACACGUACCCGCAGCAGAGCUAGUCUGCUUGUGCAGCACUUCUGAGGGCUCUCAAGCUUGCUACAUUUGUGGUUACUUUUGUUAUUAUAUAAAUUUGAAUUAUUAUAGUGAGGAUUUAGGAAUCUAUCUUUGAAAAGUUGGGAUCUAAACUUUGAAGAGAAAGAGGGAGCAGAGAUAUACCUAGGAAGAGAGAAAAGGCAGCUGCUUAGGUGCUAGGUACCCUGAGAAGCAGAGACCUGGAUGGAAGGGCAGCCAUGAGCCCACAUCAUGCAGUAGUUUAAGUACAGAGACUUUGGAUAUGGGACCACAGCAAGGCAGCUUCUGAGAUGAGUUGUGAGAGAGGUGCUGCAAACGAAUAUCCACCUGCAUGAUGAACUAAAGCUGGAGCUGUUAGUGAAAAUACUGAGCACAGAGGCCCCAGGAGCUGAAGGAGUUUGCAGCCCCAUAGGAAGAACAACAAUAUCAAUCAACCAGACCCCCCAGAGCUCCCAGGGACUAAACUACCAACCAAAGAGUACACAUGGAUGCUCCAGCCACAUAUGUAGCAUAUGUUAGCAGAGGAUGUCCUUGUGGGAUGUCAAUGAGAGAGGCCCUUGGUCUUGUGAAGGUUCUGUGCUCCAUUGUAGGGGAGUGCCAGGACAGGAUGUGGGGUUUUCGGAGGGGAAAUGAGGAAAAUUUGAAAAGUAAAGAAAAUAUCUAACAACAACAAAAAAGUUGUAAU
rnacentral:lncRNA from 1 species